AUAGGCAAAUCCGUUCUAACAAUUCUGAGGCGUGAUGGGGAAGGUUCUAAGGAACCGAAGUAUCUGAUUCCAUGCUUCCAAGAAAAGCAUCUAGAAAGAGAAAUAGUGCCCGUACCGCAAACCGACACAGGUAGGUGAGGAGAGAAUCCUAAGGCCGGCGGAAGAAUUGCAGUUAAGGAACUAGGCAAAUUGACCCCGUAACUUCGGGAGAAGGGGUGCCUGCGAGAGCAGGCCGCAGAGAAUAGGCACAAGCAACUGUUUAACAAAAACACAGGUCUCUGCUAAAGCGAAAGCUGAUGUAUAGGGGCUGACGCCUGCCCGGUGCUGGAAGGUUAAGGGGAACACUUAGCGUAAGCGAAGGUGUGAACUUAAGCCCCAGUAAACGGCGGCCGUAACUAUAACGGUCCUAAGGUAGCGAAAUUCCUUGUCAGGUAAGUUCUGACCCGCACGAAUGGCGUAAUGACUUGUGCACUGUCUCAACUGCAAAUCCGGCGAAGUUGUAGUGCGAGUGAAGAUGCUCGCUACCCGCGAUUGGACGGAAAGACCCCGUAGAGCUUUACUGUAGCUUAGCAUUGAAUUUCGGUAUUGUCUGUACAGGAUAGGUGGGAGACUGGGAAAUCAGAGCGUCAGCUUUGAUGGAGUCAUCCUUGGGAUACCACCCUGAUAGUACUGGAAUUCUAACUGGAUGCCAUGAAUCUGGUGACAGGACAUUGUUAGGUGGGCAGUUUGACUGGGGCGGUCGCCUCCUAAAAAGUAACGGAGGCGCCCAAAGGUUCCCUCAGAACGGUCGGAAAUCGUUCGUAGAGUGCAAAGGCAUAAGGGAGCCUGACUGCGAGACCUACAAGUCGAGCAGGGACGAAAGUCGGGCUUAGUGAUCCGGUGGUACCUCGUGGGAGGGCCAUCGCUCAACGGAUAAAAGCUACCUCGGGGAUAACAGGCUGAUCUCCCCCAAGAGUUCACAUCGACGGGGAGGUUUGGCACCUCGAUGUCGGCUCGUCGCAUCCUGGGGCUGAAGUAGGUCCCAAGGGUUGGGCUGUUCGCCCAUUAAAGCGGCACGCGAGCUGGGUUCAGAACGUCGUGAGACAGUUCGGUCCCUAUCCGUCGCGGGCGCAGGAAAUUUGAGAAGAGCUGUCCUUAGUACGAGAGGACCGGGAUGGACCGACCUAUGGUGUACCAGUUGUUUCGCCAGAAGCAUAGCUGGGUAGCUAAGUCGGGACGGGAUAAACGCUGAAAGCAUCUAAGCGUGAAGCCUCCUUCAAGAUGAGAUUUCCCAUAGCGUAAGCUAGUAAGACCCCUUGAAGACUACAAGGUUGAUAGGUCAGAGGUGUAAGUGUGGCAACAUAUUUAGCUGACUGAUACUAAUAGGUCGAGGGCUUGACCAAUAA
rnacentral:rRNA from 1 species